rnacentral:rRNA from 1 species
GUACUCAAGGGCACAAAAUGGAUGCCUAGACAUAUACUACCGAUGAAGGACGUGGAAGACUGCGAAAAGUCUCGGCUAGCUGUCAUCAAGCUGUGAACCGGGAAUGUCCGAAUGGGGAAACCCGCUGCGGGUCAUGCCGUGAGCAUCGUACGCUGAAUAAAAUAGGCGUAGUGAAAGGGAACCGUCUGAACUGAAACAUCUUAGUAGGGCGAGGAAAAGAGAGUAAAUAACGAUUCCGGGAGUAGUGGCGAGCGAAACUGGAAUAGCCCAAACCUUGUAUUGUUUUGUUCUCAUCAUCCGGACUGACAUGUCUACCUCGGUAGGUGAGUUGGUAUGGAUGGUGAGAACGAUAUGGCUGACAGGCUAAUGCAAUCAGGGUGUUGUGAGUCUACAGAGUUUUAAGAUCCAGCACUUCUAUACGGAGUGUUGAAUCUUAAAAGUGACGACUGUCAUCGAGCACAUAAGGUAAAAAAUCGGCGUGGUUAGCAGAACGAGUUGGAAAGCUCAGCCGGAGACUGUGAUAGCCAGGUAUGCGAAAACGACGCUGACCUUAUUCUGUAUUCUCGAGUAGGUCGGGGCACGAGAAACCCUGAUUGAAUCCGGCUGGACCACCAGCCAAGGCUAAAUAUAGUAUAUGAUCGAUAGUGAACUAGUACGGUGACGGAAAGGUGAAAAGAACCCCGGGAGGGGAGUGAAAUAGAACCUGAAAUUUUGUGCCUACAAGGAGUCGGAGCCGGGAUAAGGUAAAUCUACCUCAUCUGCUUUCCGAAAGGGAAAAGAGCAGCGAGCUUGGUUUUGCUUUAGCAAAACUCAGCUUUGCUGACGAGCGAUGAGAAAAACCGUAGGUUUGUCUCAUCCCGGUGACGGCGUGCUUUUUGUAGAACGAUCCAGCGAGUUAAUUUUUACGGCGAGGUUAAGUCAGAUGAUGAAGCCAUAGUGAAAGCGAGCAUUAACAGUGCGAUUUAGUCGUAAGGAUUAGACCCGAAACCAGGUGACCUAACCAUGAGCAGGUUGAAGCAACCUUAAUCGGUUGUGGAGGACCGAACCAGUGUAUAUUGCAAAAUGCUUGGAUGACUUGUGGUUAGCGGUGAAAUGCCAAUCGAACUUGGAGAUAGCUGGUUCUCCGCGAAAUAGUUAUAGGACUAGCGUCGUGUGAUAGCUUACGGGGGUAGAGCUCUGUCAAGAGAUAGGGGGAGCAAUCCUACCUACUCUUAAUAAACUACGAAUACCGUAUGUCUGUAUCACGGCAGUUAGAACGUCGGUGCUAAGAUCGGCGCUCAAAAGGGAAACAGCCCAGACCAUCAUCUAAGGUCCCCAAAUUUACGCUAAGUGGGAAACAAGGUGGAAUUUCUUAAACAGCUAGGAUGUUGGCUUAGAAGCAGCCAUUCAUUUAAAGAGUGCGUAACAGCUCACUAGUCAAGAGAUUCUGCGUGGAAGAUAUAACGGGGCUAAGCGUAAUACCGAAGAUAUGGAUUGCAAUUUAUUGCAGUGGUAGCGGAGCGUUCCUAUCGGCAGUGAAGCCGGACUGUUAAGUACCGGUGGAGCGUUAGGAAGUGAGAAUGCUGGAACGAGUAACCAUAAGACAGGUGAGAAUCCUGUCGGCCGAAAGAGCGAGGUUUCCUGGGCUAUGGUAAUCAUCCCAGGGUUAGUCGGGCCUAAGCCGAGGCGUUUAGCGUAGGCGAUGGACAUCAGGUUAAUAUUCCUGAACUAGUCAAACUUUGUAUGCAGUUAGCGAUGAGAUAGGUGGAGCGGAUUCAUGGUUUAUCCGUUCAAGUGAUAGAGGAAUCUUGAUCGAGUAAAAGUGAACCUACGGGUUUACGAUUCCGCUGAAGGCAUUGACCAGAAAAGCUGGCAUACGCAUGGGUUUGGCUACCCGUACCGCAAACCGACACAGGUGCUCGAGUCGAGGAGACUAAGGCUUACGAGAGAAUGAUUGCUAAGGAACUCGGCAAUACAGCGACCGUAACUUCGGAAUAAGGUCUGCCUACAUUUGUAGGCCGCAGCUAAAGAGCCCACGGAACUGUUUAUCAAAAACUCAGGUCUCUGCUAACACGAAAGUGGAUGUAUAGGGGCUGAAACCUGCCCGGUGCCGGAAGGUUAAGGGGAUUGCUUCACGGUGAGAACUGAAGCCCCGGUGAACGGCGGCGGUAACUAUAACCGUCCUAAGGUAGCGAAAUUCCUUGUCAGGUAAGUUCUGACCCGCACGAAUGGUUAAAUCAUGUGGGCACUGUCUCAGCAAUUAUCUCGGUGAAAAUGCAUUGGCGGUAAAGAUGCCGUCUGUCCGCACCAGGACGAAAAGACCCCGUGGAGCUUCACUACAGCUUUACAUUGUUGUGGGUUCUAACUUGUGUAGUAUAGGUGGGAGACUUUGAAGCAGAUACGCUAGUAUUUGUGGAGUCAUCAGUGAAAUACCACCCCCGUUAGGAUCUGCAUCUAACCUGUGCCGUUAUCCGGUAUAGGGACCGUGUAUGGUUGGUAGUUUAACUGGGGCGGUUGCCUCCUAAAGAGUAGCGGAGGCGUUCAAAGGUUGGCUAGCUACGGAUGGAAAUCGUAGUGGUAGUGUAUACGCAUAAGCCAGCUUGACUGUGAGGAGUACAUUCCGAUCAGAUGCGAAAGCAGGAGUAAGUGAUCCGCUGGACGAACCAUUGGUUCAUGAAUGUGGGAUUGCCAGCGCAAACGGACAAAAGUUACCCCGGGGAUAACAGGCUGAUAGCGCCCAAUAGUUCACAUAGACGGCGCUGUUUGGCACCUCGAUGUCGGCUCAUCACAUCCUGGGGCUGGAGCAGGUCCCAAGGGUCCGGCUGUUCGCCGGUUAAAGUGGUACGCGAGCUGGGUUCAGAACGUCGCGAGACAGUUCGGUUUAUAUCCGGUGUGGACGUCAGGAAACUUGCGAGGAUUUGCCCCUAGUACGAGAGGACCGGGGUGAACGCACCUCUGGUGUAUCGGUUGUGACCACCUGUUGCAUUGCCGAGUAGCUAUGUGCGGAGCAGAUAAGCGCUGAAAGCAUAUUAAGCGCGAAACUGACCUCAAGAUUAGGUUUCCCUAUGAGGACACUAAUAGACGAUUAGUUUGAUAGGCACAAGGUGGAAGCACAGUAAUGUGUGGAGCUGAAGUGUACUAAUAGUCCCACUGCCUU